rnacentral:rRNA from 1 species
AAAACGACUCUCGGCAACGGAUAUCUCGGCUCUCGCAUCGAUGAAGAACGUAGCGAAAUGCGAUACUUGGUGUGAAUUGCAGAAUCCCGUGAACCAUCGAGUUUUUGAACGCAAGUUGCGCCCAAAGCCAUUAGGUUAAGGGCACGUCUGCCUGGGCGUCACGCAUCAAGUCGCCC